GAUGAACGUUGGCGGUGUGCCUAAUACAUGCAAGUCGAACGGAGUUAAUAGCAAUAUUAGCUUAGUGGCGAACGGGUGAGUAACGCGUUGGUGAUCUGCCUUGAAGUGUGGAAUAACGUUUCGAAAGGAACGCUAAUACCGCAUGUGCUCUCGAUGUUUAGAAAGUUGAGAGGAAAGGAUUUAUUCGCUUCAAGAGGAGCCUGCGUCCCAUCAGCUGGUUGGUAGGGUAAAGGCCUACCAAGGCUAUGACGGGUAGGGGACCUGAGAGGGUGGCCCCCCACAAUGGAACUGAAACACGGUCCAUACACCUACGGGUGGCAGCAGUAGGGAAUAUUAGAAAUGGACGAAAGUCUGAUCUAGCAACACCGCGUGUGCGAAGAAGGCCUUCGGGUCGUAAAGCACUUUUUGGAAGGAAUAGGAAGGAAUGUACUUCCAGAAUAAGUCUCGGCUAACUACGUGCCAGCAGCCGCGGUAACACGUAGGAGGCAAACGUUAUCCGGAUUUACUGGGCGUAAAGCGCGUGUAGGUGGUACUGUAAGUAGGGCGUGAAAGCUCCCGGCUCAACUGGGAGAGGCCGUUCUAAACUGCAGAACUAGAGGAUGGUAGAGGGAGGUGGAAUUCCAGGUGUAGCGGUGGAAUGCGCAGAUAUCUGGAGGAACACCAGUGGCGAAGGCGGCCUCCUGGACCAUUCCUGACACUCAGACGCGAAAGCUAGGGUAGCAAACGGGAUUAGAGACCCCGGUAGUCCUAGCCCUAAACGAUGUAGACUAGGCGUCGGUGGUUUAAUCACCAUCGGUGUCCAAGCUAACGCGAUAAGUCUACCGCCUGGGGACUACGGCCGC
rnacentral:rRNA from 1 species